GGGCCCGUAGCUCAGCUAGGAUUAGAGCGCUGGCCUCCUAAGCCAGUUGUCGCGGGUUCGAGUCCCGCCGGGCCCG
rnacentral:tRNA from 1 species